rnacentral:rRNA from 1 species
GAUGAACGCUGGCGGCGUGCCUAAUACAUGCAAGUCGAGCGAACAGACGAGGAGCUUGCUCCUCUGACGUUAGCGGCGGACGGGUGAGUAACACGUGGAUAACCUACCUAUAAGACUGGGAUAACUUCGGGAAACCGGAGCUAAUACCGGAUAAUAUAUUGAACCGCAUGGUUCAAUAGUGAGAGACGGUUUUGCUGUCACUUAUAGAUGGGUCCGCGCCGCAUUAGCUAGUUGGUAAGGUAACGGCUUACCAAGGCAACGAUGCGUAGCCGACCUGAGAGGGUGAUCGGCCACACUGGAACUGAGACACGGUCCAGACUCCUACGGGAGGCAGCAGUAGGGAAUCUUCCGCAAUGGGCGAAAGCCUGACGGAGCAACGCCGCGUGAGUGAUGAAGGUCUUCGGAUCGUAAAACUCUGUUAUUAGGGAAGAACAAAUGUGUAAGUAACUAUGCACGCCUUGACGGUACCUAAUCAGAAAGCCACGGCUAACUACGUG